AAUUCAAUUAAGGACUCCGCUUCCCACUUGAAGCCGGUCUCCAGGGCAGAUCUUCCGGGCGACUCGCCCCUGUAAGAAAUUAGAAAAUGCAACAAUAAAAACCCUCAAAAAGAAAAAAACUUAAAAAGACAAAUGUGGCAACUUUAGUAAUGAAAGGUGUCACGUUCUCCACCGUUAAGUCGCACGUCUCUUCGGGCUGGAAGUGACCGACACACGGCGAAGUACCCACAGAUCAUUCAUGGAAAGCCAUCUUCCAUAUUAAAAAUGCCACUGCUAGUACAACACAAGAAAAUAGAUGGCUGUAGAGUGAGCAUUGCCCAGACGCGAUAACUCUUCAGUGGACUCAGCUCCAGCUAAGAUUUUUCAACAGAAAGAUGAAGUGAGCCCCUGUAUGGAGUGACUCCGCAGGAAGAGAGAACGAGGGCCGCGGGAAGGAAGCCGGAGUCAAUCCCAGCUGACAUCGGGUGAAAGCGGGGGUACACCCUGGAUAGGUUGCCAGCGUAUUGCAGGGCCAAACAUACAGAGACAAACAACCAUUCACCUUCACACCUACGGACAAUUUAGAGUCUCCAUCCUAACCCCAUUCUUCAUCUCUUUGGACUGUGGGAGGUGUAUGGUGUACCCGGAGAAAACCCCUGCAGACACUGGGAGAACAUACCACUUCCACAAAGAAAUACCCCGGCCAGGAAGCAGUAAAACUUCCUGCUGUGAGGCAAUAGUGUUAACCACCACAUUUUUUAAAUAAUGGAAAAUGUUUUACAAUAAUUGCAGCAACCCCCUACUUUCCCUACCUUAGAAAGUAAAUUCAAGCCCAGUUUCACACCUCAAAUUCAACAGGACCCAUGCAGAUUCCUGGACACAUGAGAAGUGUGCGAGCUCCUGCUCUUCCUUCUUGCUCAUCGAGUUCACAUAUGUUUCAUGGAUUUGGAAGAGGCUUAUGACUCUGUCCCUCAGGGUGGUGAGUGGGGGCAGCUUUGGGAAUAAGGGGCCAUACGAUCCUACAUGCCAUUUAGUGCUAAUUUUGUCAGCUGUUCCUAGAUUUAGUUGAAGUCCUACUCCUGAGGUACUCCUGGGUCAACCCCACCCUUUUUAUUCUUAGUUGAUUCUAUGGAGUGUAAGUAAUAUGUAAAUUGUAUGUCUCUGAUGCUUAGUAUAUUUAGCUUCAAGCAAACUACUAAAUGGUUUUCAUGUCUGUCUUGUUUUACAUUGCAAGAAUGCUGUAAUCUGUACCGUAUGUCUAGUAGCAUGUGUAUCUCUUUUUUCACUCUAGAUGUUGUGAUAUAUCUACUCUAAGAAAGUAAAUUAGUUUUUAUUAAAACAUGUCUUACCAUAAUUACGUUUUGGUGCAAACAAUGUGAACAAUUUAUGUCUUUCUGUGCAUAAUGUUGAUGAGUUCAUGAGGUUCAUUAGAGUAAAAUGAUAGUGGAGUAAAUGGAGAAUAUUUUCAAAAACUGCUUAAAGGUAAUAUUAUUUCAUAACUACAGAUCCCCACUUUCUGGGGAUUGUUCAACACAAGUCUACUCAUAUUGGUUUAUUAUCAUCAGUUUUACAGGCCCAGAAUGAUAUGAAUGGACAGGGGCAGUGAAAUAAAUUUAAACAGGCAUCACUCGUACAGUAUAUCCCUUCGUAACACAACACCUCCGCAUCAGUGAUAUUAAGGCCCCUAGCCUAAAACCUACAAAAGACACUCCAAGGAUAACAGUACAAUAAUAGCCUGUUAACAAGUAAGGAGGUAGCCUAUUGGCCUAUUGAGUUUAAUCUAUCGCUGAAGCUACUUUAUUUAAACAAGAUGGUAAAGGAAUAAAAAGUAGUUUAUGUUGCAAGACCAGUGUAAUACCCAUAACUGUCUUAUAAAGGCUUAAUGUCAGGCGGCCUUAGGAGAAGUGUCACUAGAAUAACACUGAUCAGCCUUGAGCUGGGGAAUUAGAGACAGCAAAUCUUUGAGUAUAACGUGACAACUAGGAUAGUCUAGAAAGACACAAUGGACAGAAACUUUUUAUUGAAGAAUUAAUAUAUAUUUUCAAUAGAGCUUAUACCCUCCGCCAAGGGGGUUAUGUUUUCAUUGGCGUUUGUUAGUAUGACAAAACUACUGGAUAGAUUACCACGAAACUCCGUGCAAGGAAACGGUAGAGGUCAGGAAUGAUGCCAUUCAAUUUUGUUCUUGGAUCUUGAUGAAUAAAAUCAGGCAUGUUUGGGAACGCUGAUAUCUGUCAGUUUGUGCAAUUUAGUGCAGCUUGAUGAAAUACAAGGCAACUGCUGGACCUAAGAAGUGGAGUGCCCUCUACUGAGUGCCAUUCUAGUUAUGUUAUUGUGUUUGUUUUGGGUACCAUACGAGGAAAAAGCCACCACAGAACAAAAUGUAAUAACAUAAUGAGAAACCUAUAUUUACACAACAAUAGAUAUCACACAGCAUUUGGCUUCAUGUUAUGUGAGCUUUGUCAGCUUUGCAGAUGCAGUUUAUUUAUAAUGGAACAAAAUGUUGAUCGUCCACAGCCCACUCUGUUUGUUUCUGCUGUAGUUACAGUAUU